rnacentral:tRNA from 2 species
GCUGAAAUAGCUCAGUCGGUAGAGCACUUCACUCGUAAUGAAGGGGUCGUGGGUUCAAGUCCCAUUUUCAGCU